CCUACGGGCGGCUGCAGUGGGAAAUAUUGGACAAUGGGGGGAACCCUGAUCCAGCCAUGCCGCGUGUGUGAAGAAGGCCCUCGGGUUGUAAAGCACUUUCAGUGAGGAAGAACGCCUGGUGGUUAAUACCCAUCAGGAAAGACAUCACUCACAGAAGAAGCACCGGCUAACUCCGUGCCAGCAGCCGCGGUAAUACGGAGGGUGCGAGCGUUAAUCGGAAUUACUGGGCGUAAAGCGCGCGUAGGUGGCUUGAUAAGCCGGUUGUGAAAGCCCCGGGCUCAACCUGGGAACGGCAUCCGGAACUGUCAAGCUAGAGUGCAGGAGAGGAAGGUAGAAUUCCCGGUGUAGCGGUGAAAUGCGUAGAGAUCGGGAGGAAUACCAGUGGCGAAGGCGGCCUUCUGGACUGACACUGACACUGAGGUGCGAAAGCGUGGGUAGCAAACAGGAUUAGAUACCCUGGUAGUC
rnacentral:rRNA from 1 species